UUGAAGAUGGAAGCCACAUGCUGGGAUGGUGGAUCCAAAAGAUGUGGAUGCCGGAUCCCUUGUGACACUGGAGCUGCCAUACCAGCCCUGGGUUGCUUGUAUCCAGACUGCCUUUACCUGGGAGAGAAAUAUUCUUCUAUACUGUUAGGUGUCUGUUGCAGCCAAACCUAAUCCCAAAUGAUAUACCUUGUUGGGACCUGGGACCUGGGACCCUUUGCUGCAGUACUUGCACCUGAACGAAUAUCUCCUCGACCAGCAGAAUACAAGAAACUCUAAGGAACUAAAAAUAACUGCCCACAUGUGCAGUUGGGGCAAAAUAUGAACAAUGAGGAAGAAGGCAACGGACAAGGAUCCCCAUCACGUCCUUCUUACACGUGUUACUUCCCUGUAUCAGCCUAUCAGACAACCAUAUCCGCUGAAAAUGAUGACCUAGAUGGAAGGGGAAAGCUCAGGCCACACGCAGCUCCUUCUCUUUUUAUUUCUUUACUCAUCAAUAAGCUGAAGGCAGAGAAUGUUGGUAGGAUAUGUGUGUACCCAUUAAGAAAUAAAAACAGUUGAGUUAGUUUUGUGUAGGAUUUCCAUUGUUCAGGUAAGAACACAAUACCUAUUCAUGUACAAGCAAUGAAAUACGAAUUGUGUCAUAUCAGUGAUUUCCAUAUGAGUUAGUGCUCUUAUAUUUGCCUUUAAAAUAGGUAUUGCAUAAAAU